UCGCCCGAUUAAACCUAACCUCUCGCCCGAUUCCUCCUGGUUUUCCCGAAGCCGUCGGCAUCUCCUCGCUAUUCACCUCCGCACGGUGCUUCCCACCGUGCCCUAAGCGUCGGUCAGGCGCCACUACACGCGGACGAGCUUCUGGAAAGAGCGCGAUCGGACGUGGAGCUUGCAAUGGUCUCUCCGACGGCGCGAAAGUCUCGACGAGAGCUUCGAGCGGUGAUACGAGGAAGAGAAAGGCAAGUACAUUCUCAUAUGUUCGUAGGAGAUAUGCGAGAAAUAUUGAAAAGAUUUAGAAGGUGGAGGUUCAAUUUGAUGACGUUCAGUUUCUCCGAAAGCUUUGGGACAGGUUGUAGGUGUUUUUGCGCUUUGAUUGAUACUGCCCUUGUUGUUCUCUGUUGUUUCUAACAUGCUGGACGAAUUCAGAGGUGUGGAUUUCAACUCAAGUUUGUGCGGUAUCAUGUCUUGCAUCACUGUAUUUUUGGUGGAUUUGUGAAUUCGAUGUUGCUUUGUGUUAUGUCCUGCUUCACCGAAUUGUUGAGGAAUUUGUGUGGUUUCAACUCGAUGUGUCUUGCUUCUUUGUGUAGCUGUGGAUUUAGUGUAGGGUGAUUAGAGGUUGGUUUA